CCUACACCUACAAUUGCUUAUUCAGUGUCUCUCUUCUCUCCCAGAAUAUAAGCUCCAUGAAGCUCCAGCCUACAGACCCUUUACAUCUGAUACGUGUCCACCCAGAGACUUGGCUUUUUCGCAGCUACAGUAGGUGAUGCAACUGCAUCCUGUCCAUGUUCAGAUUCAGGCUCCAAGAUCCAUCUUCUGCCAGAAGCCAUCAUUCACAAGGGAUGGAGCCCACAGGAUGAUGGCUUGCCCUGGAGGAGAGGAAGAAAUCUGCCAAAAAAAAAAAAAAAAAAAGAAAAAGGAACCAAAGGGCCUUGAGUAUGUUGAGCCUGUUUCUGCCAUAGAUAGAAGAAAACUUAUAUCUCUAGAAUUCAUAAAUGGGCAUGGUAAUCUAAAAAGAGAAGCAAAAAUGAACAUUUUUGAGUGUCUA